AAGAACCCAGGUUCAAAACCUUUUUUUCUCUGUUUUGUUUUAGGGUUUCAGCCGCUGUUUGUGCUGACCCGGUGUUCAGUUGUUGGCUACCUUGUCGCUUCAUGUCUGUCUUCGACGGAGACACGUGUGCCGCUGUUCUACUCAGACGGUGCCAAUCUGAUUCAAAACUGAUUCGCUUCUGCAUAACAUGCCGCAUCAACGUUGCAUUUCAGUGUACCUGGUCUUCGCUUACACCAGCGCUGUUCAGCCUCUUGAAUAACCGGUAUGUGAUUUAUUAAUCUUGUUGCUUUGACCUUCAGCCAGUCAUCUAAAGCCUUUGUAGCUUGUUUGUUAACUUCAAAAGUCGUUGGGAAUUUAUCAUUCCAACACUUCUGGUUACGUCCCCACCAAAUCGCCCAAAGGAUCAUAGAAACUCACUCCAUAAUCUUGUUGUCUAGCUGGUCCAAUAAACUCGAAUAGUGCCUGUUUAAAACAUGUUGCAUUCAGAUUCAGGACCUGUUGCUGCAAUUGUGGCCAUAACUCCGCAUCCAUCCAGACCUCUUGAGCAACAUUGCAUCCAAAAAAACAAUGUCAUUCGUUUUCACCGGUUGACUCACAACAGGGGCACUUAGAAUCACAUUGCACUCCUCUAUAGAUUAAUCUUUCCUUUAUGGGUAAGCACUCGCGAAGCGCUUUCCACCAAAUAAAUUGCACUUUCUUAUGAAUACUGAGCUUCCACAAAAUAAAUCUUAGACGUUGGAUACUACGGUGUUCAACUUAUUCUAUAAGACAUAAAGUUAACGAACAUAAAGUUAAUGUUGAUAAAAACAACUUUUUACACUUUUAAUGCAUUGAAUGCACGAGUUUCAAGAUAAAAUUUUCUUAUUUAUGUGUUUAAUUGGUGUCUGGGUGCACUAUUUAAGUGUAAUGAAUUGACCAUGUGAAGACAAUAUUACUAUAUAAGUAGGGUCGCAUUGCAUAAAUAUAAAUAUAUAAAUAUUAACUAAAAAUCCAAUAGGCAAUGUACCAAAAAAAAAAAAAAUCCAAUAGGCAAGCUCAAUUAAUAUUUAGAGCAUUGAAUACAUCACAAACUCAAUAAUUUUUUUUUCACAUUUAUCUUCUUAACAUGUGCCAUAACAUUUUUCUUAUUAUAAAAUUAUAAAUAUAUUCUAGAGUAUUCUUAGCAUAUUCCAUAGUAAAUGUUCCUUUGUAAUUAAUGCUAUUAAUAUUAUAUAAUGAAAUGUUUAUAAUGCUCUAUGACACACGGUUUUCGCCAUAUGUCUCUUCUAUUUUUUUAUUUUUAUUUUUUUCUUUCAACAUGAUAUCAGAGUUUAUCCUAGAUCCAUUUGUUGUGAAGACCUCUCAUAUUUGGGCCACCCGUUGUUGUUGAUUUCACGUUCCAGCUUGUCCGAUCCUAAACGAGAGGGAGUGUGUUAGAAGUCCCACAUUGGCUAACCUUUAUAAGCUCUAACAAAUGAGAUGGGGGCCAAAAUUCUAUAAUUUUUUUAAAAAGUAAAAUUGGGGUCUAGAAAAUGGGUUUUCAAACCUUUUUUCUUUCAUUUAUAAAAAUAAUGAAUAUAAUAAUUUUUUGAGGUAGAAGUAGAAUAUAAAAAUUUAUGUGAAGUGGGGUAUUAAUAAUUACCAUUUGUUUAAAAUAAAAACUAAUGUUGGCAAAGCUAAUGCUCAACUAUUGAAAAGGUGUUGGGAGGAAAGAAAUGAAACAAGAUAAAAAAUAAAGCAAGCUUCAUUAAUGAAAAGAUCGAUGUUGACAUCAGGUAAAAACAAGCCUCCAUUUGCAUCUUUUUCUACUUUUAGAUCGAUGUUGCCAUUUGCAUCUUUUUCUACAUUUUUUUUAUUUGACAAAGUAUCUUUUUCGACUUAGUAACUUAAUUAUUGAAUUGGGUAAAACAAUGGAAUGAGCUUUCAAGUCUAA
rnacentral:lncRNA from 1 species